rnacentral:ribozyme from 13 species
UAUAGAGUGAGAGGGAGAGAGAGAGAAGAAGAGAAAGAGAAUAAGAUAGGUUGUUGUGUCUUCUCCUCUCCCCUCUCCUCCAUCUCUCCUUUUCUUUUUUCUUUUCUUUUCUCU